AGCAGCCGCGGUAAUUCCAGCUCCAAUAGCGUAUAUUAAAGUUGUUGCAGUUAAAAAGCUCGUAGUUGAAUUUCGGGGUCAGUAGGUUGGUCAUGCCUCUGGUAUGUACUGGUCUCACUGAUUCCUCCUUCCUGAUGAGCCAUAAUGCCAUUAAUUUGGUGUUGCGGGGAAUCUGGACUGUUACUUUGAAAAAAUUAGAGUGUUUAAAGCAGGCUAACGCUUGAAUACAUUAGCAUGGAAUAAUGAAAUAGGACGUUCGAUCCUAUUUUGUUGGUUUCUAGGAUUGACGUAAUGAUUAAUAGGGAUAGUUGGGGGCAUUAGUAUUCAAUUGUCAGAGGUGAAAUUCUUGGAUUUAUUGAAGACUAACUACUGCGAAAGCAUUUGCCAAGGAUGUUUUCAUUAAUCAAGAACGAAAGUUAGGGGAUCGAAGACGAUCAGAUACCGUCGUAGUCUUAACCAUAAACUAUGCCGACUAGGAAUCAGACGAUGUAAUUUUUAAUGACUCGUUUGGCAACCG
rnacentral:rRNA from 1 species